GAGGUGCUUGCACCUUAUCUUAGCGGCGGACGGGUGAGUAAUGCUUAGGAAUCUGCCUAUUAGUGGGGGACAACAUUCCGAAAGGAAUGCUAAUACCGCAUACGUCCUACGGGAGAAAGCAGGGGAUCUUCGGACCUUGCGCUAAUAGAUGAGCCUAAGUCGGAUUAGCUAGUUGGUGGGGUAAAGGCCUACCAAGGCGACGAUCUGUAGCGGGUCUGAGAGGAUGAUCCGCCACACUGGGACUGAGACACGGCCCAGACUCCUACGGGAGGCAGCAGUGGGGAAUAUUGGACAAUGGGGGGAACCCUGAUCCAGCCAUGCCGCGUGUGUGAAGAAGGCCUUAUGGUUGUAAAGCACUUUAAGCGAGGAGGAGGCUACUGAGACUAAUACUCUUGGAUAGUGGACGUUACUCGCAGAAUAAGCACCGGCUAACUCUGUGCCAGCAGCCGCGGUAAUACAGAGGGUGCGAGCGUUAAUCGGAUUUACUGGGCGUAAAGCGUGCGUAGGCGGCUUUUUAAGUCGGAUGUGAAAUCCCCGAGCUUAACUUGGGAAUUGCAUUCGAUACUGGGAAGCUAGAGUAUGGGAGAGGAUGGUAGAAUUCCAGGUGUAGCGGUGAAAUGCGUAGAGAUCUGGAGGAAUACCGAUGGCGAAGGCAGCCAUCUGGCCUAAUACUGACGCUGAGGUACGAAAGCAUGGGGAGCAAACAGGAUUAGAUACCCUGGUAGUCCAUGCCGUAAACGAUGUCUACUAGCCGUUGGGGCCUUUGAGGCUUUAGUGGCGCAGCUAACGCGAUAAGUAGACCGCCUGGGGAGUACGGUCGCAAGACUAAAACUCAAAUGA
rnacentral:rRNA from 1 species